rnacentral:rRNA from 1 species
GACGAACGCUGGCGGCGUGCUUAACACAUGCAAGUCGAACGCUGAAGCACCAGCUUGCUGGUGUGGAUGAGUGGCGAACGGGUGAGUAAUACGUGAGUAACCUGCCCUUGACUCUGGGAUAAGCUCGGGAAACUGGGCCUAAUACUGGAUGCUACAUGUCACCGCAUGGUGGUGUGUGGAAAGGGUUUACUGGUCUUGGAUGGGCUCACGGCCUAUCAGCUUGUUGGUGAGGUAAUGGCUCACCAGGGCGACGACGGGUAGCCGGCCUGAGGGGGUGACCGGCGACACUGAGACUGAGACACGGCCCAGACUCCUACGGGAGGCAGCAGUGGGGAAUAUUGCACAAUGGGCGCAAGCCUGAUGCAGCGAGGCCGCGUGUGGGAUGACGGCCUUCGGGUGGAAAACCUCUUUCAGCAGGGAAGAAGCCACAAGUGACGGUACCUGCAGAAGAAGCGCCGGCUAACUACGUG